rnacentral:rRNA from 1 species
UAACGCGUGAGGAACCUGCCUUCCAGAGGGGGACAACAGUUGGAAACGACUGCUAAUACCGCAUGAUGCGUUGGAGCCGCAUGACUCCGACGUCAAAGAUUUAUCGCUGGAAGAUGGCCUCGCGUCUGAUUAGCUAGUUGGUGAGGUAACGGCCCACCAAGGCGACGAUCAGUAGCCGGACUGAGAGGUUGAACGGCCACAUUGGGACUGAGACACGGCCCAGACUCCUACGGGAGGCAGCAG